rnacentral:rRNA from 1 species
UACGUAGGGACCGAGCGUUGUCCGGAUUCAUUGGGCGUAAAGAGCUCGUAGGCGGCUGUUCAAGUCGAACGUGAAAACUCGGAGCUCAACUCCGAGCCUGCGUUCGAUACUGGACGGCUAGAGUCUGGUAGGGGGAUCUGGAAUUCCUGGAUGUAGCGGUGAAAUGCGCAGAUAUCAGGAGGAACACCGGUGGCGAAGGCGGGUCUCUGGGCAACAACUGACGCUGAGGAGCGAAAGCGUGGGGAGCGAACAGG